GCACACACCGUGCUGAAGAUUGUGUCGCUGGCGUUUGCGAUGCCUCUCAUCCAUGUCUUUCGUCAGAGCAGCUUCAAAAGGACUGUGCGAGAAGUGAAGCCGUGGGAAUACAACAGCCAGAAGGCUGCGUGCGCUGGCGUCUUCAAUGCCUGUCAUCUAUCGCUUCCGUCGGAGAAGCUCCCCAAGAAGUGAACAGGAUUAGACAACGAGACUGGACUGGUAGACUUCAACAUGAAUUCACUUAAUAUAAUGAAGAAUUUCAUGUGUAUGUAGAAAAAUAAAAGAUUUCUAUGUCGCA